rnacentral:rRNA from 1 species
GAUGAACGCUGGCGGCGUGCCUAAUACAUGCAAGUCGAGCGAACGGACGAGAAGCUUGCUUCUCUGAUGUUAGCGGCGGACGGGUGAGUAACACGUGGAUAACCUACCUAUAAGACUGGGAUAACUUCGGGAAACCGGAGCUAAUACCGGAUAAUAUUUUGAACCGCAUGGUUCAAAAGUGAAAGACGGUCUUGCUGUCACUUAUAGAUGGAUCCGCGCUGCAUUAGCUAGUUGGUAAGGUAACGGCUUACCAAGGCAACGAUGCAUAGCCGACCUGAGAAGGGGAUCGGCCACACUGGAACUGAGACACGGUCCAGACUCCUACGGGAGGCAGCAGUAGGGAAUCUUCCGCAAUGGGCGAAAGCCUGACGGAGCAACGCCGCGUGAGUGAUGAAGGUCUUCGGAUCGUAAAACUCUGUUAUUAGGGAAGAACAUAUGUGUAAGUAACUGUGCACAUCUUGACGGUACCUAAUCAGAAAGCCACGGCUAACUACGUG